UCGGAUAUGGUGUAACGGCUAACAUUGCCGCCUCUCAUGGAUCUAGGUUGAUCAUAUACGCGGCAGCUCGGGGUUCGAUUCCCCGUAUCCGAA